rnacentral:lncRNA from 1 species
UGUGACUCUGAAUCCUAUAUAAAGGUUGAAACUCAAAUGCUAACAGUCAUAAUGAAAUAAUUUUUGUUUUGUUUAAGAAAGCCGCGAUUACAAUUAACCACUGUAAUAUAAAUUUGGAGACAGCAAUAAUUUAAGAAAUAAGAUAAUGCCUUAGAAUGACUAAACUUGUAAAUAUGUUGGUAUAGUAUAAUAAACCGCUAACAUAUAGUUGUGUUAUGUUGUUUUAACGAUGUCUUGAUUUAAUAUAUUACUAAAUAUAUAUCUGCGUGCCGAAAACCGUAUUUAGCUACACCACAUUGUAAUGUAUAUGUCAAAUGAAGAACAUGUCAUAGAACUU